CUACAGCAGACCUGGCAUACUUCACUUCUCUGCGACCUGCUCCCUGAACCUGGUCCACACAACAGUGUGAAAAACUGCCACCCCAAGGAGGAGAAAGACCUCACAAACAGCUCCUGAAUUCUUGAGGAAUGAUGAUGGGUCCGAUCUUGUGCAGGUCUGUGAAGAUGGAUGUGGUGAUGUUUAAGUAGGUUGUCAACUGGACCAGGA